GGGUCAGUAGGUUGGUCGUGCCACCGGUACGUACUGGUCUCACUGAUUCCUCAUUCCUGAAGAACCGUAAUGCCAUUAAUUUGGUGUUGCGGGGAAACAGGACUGUAACUUUGAAAAAAUUAGAGUGUUUAAAGCAAGCUAACGCUUGAAUACAUUAGGAUGUAAUAAUGAAAUAGGACGAUCGAUCCUAUUUUGUUGGUUUCUAGGAUUGACGUA
rnacentral:rRNA from 1 species